AUCAGAAGGAAAAAGAAAGUGAGAUUUUUCAUCAUGGGUUGGCUGCAUCCCUCUACCACAGAGCAUAGCUCCUGUCAGGUGGCCCUCACCAUACAGCAACCCUUCCCCAGUUCCCAUAACCACUCUCUCCCAGGGGCCUGACAGAUACACUGGGGAAAAACAUUCCAGGCAGAAGGAAAAGAAGGACAAAGCACAAAUGUGCUUGGAAAGCUUAAAGAAUGAUCAGACUAGUGUGGCUGGAAUGGCAGAGGUGACGGAGGGAUUGGUAGGAGAUAAUGUCAAGAGGUAAGGGAGGCCAGACUAUGAGGGCUUUGCAGGCUACCGGAAAGACUUUGGCUUUUAACAUGAGUGAGAUGGGGAGCAAUUGGAGGAUGCUGAACAAAAGACUGACAUACUCAAACUAUGUUUUAACAGCAUCACUUUAGGAGACUGGUGACAGGCAAGAGAGGAUGGUGGCUUAAAUUAGAGUGGUAGCAAUGGAGAUGGUGAGAAGUGGUCGGAUUCCAAAUAGGUUUUAAAGGGGGUGCUGAAGAAUCCUGUUAACUAAAAUGACCAGAGAAAAAGUCCAAACCCAAGACCAGAGACUUACUACCCUGCUUGUCAUUGUAUAUCACUAAAAAUUCUGUUAUUCAGUAAGAUUUCAGCAUGACAAUCCCAAUACCCUACUACUUGUGUGGGACACACAAUUCUAGGCCAAAGGCCAACCCCCAAAGUUUCCCCAGACUGUACCUGACUCCAGAACAACUCCAGAAAACUAUCAUCACGGACUUUCUAGCCAAGCAACCCCACUCUACAGCCAGAACUCUAUAAGGGUCGUGUUGGGCGCCAUUUUGUCCCGAUUGGCUCCAGCCACUCUAUCUCCAUGGGCUCCUCCAUGAGCUGGCCUAACCAUGUCACAUCAGAAUUCUGGGAAACACUGUCCACACCUGCCCUGUCCAUACCUCCUGUCCUCUGCUCAUCAUCACUCACAGGCUGGCAGCAGACAGAUCACAUCCAUCAACCACUAAGCAGAGAGAGAUGGGUCCCAGGGGCAGUCAGAACACAGUGUGGGCAACAUCUCAGGUACCAUGACUUUAAUAAGGAUUUUAAAAUUUGCCGGGAAAGCAGGCAACCAUCAACCAUAGACAGAUCAUCGGAAAGGAGGGAAAAAUAGAAAGCUUGGCCCCACGGGCUGAAAGCUCCAGCCUGAAAUAUCUCCUGGGAACAAAAGCACCCCGGCAUUUUUUGGUGCACACUGUUAACUCUCAGGAUAAGGCCUGUUGCUUCAUAUUCGUGAACCCCCAGCAAAGGCACCCAGCUGGAAAGUGGAGAACAGCACAUGAUUCUGAGGGCUCAUUUCAGAGCCAGGAAAAACUGAUGGUAUUUUGUUUAUGUUCAAAGAAAUCAAUCCAAAGAGAUCAGCCCCACAGCCAAAGUCAGCAAGACCGGGGAGCAAAUUGCUGCCAACCAAGGAGGGGUCGACCUGCACUGGAAUCUCGGAUCCAACAGUUUCAAGCUGUGUGCCCUUGGGUUUGGAUUACAAGGCAAAACGAGACAUGGCUACCGCCCUCAGAGAACUCCUAGUCUAGUGGGAGAGACAGACAGCCCCAUGGUGUAUAUGAAGAGCUGGAGAGGGGGUUGCAGAGGUGGGAAAGUGUCUGGUUGCCUCUGAGGGGUCAGGGAAAGCUUUACAAAAAAGAGGAGACUUGAACUUGGCCUUGAAGCCUGAGUAUAUUUUUCCAAACAGAGAGAGGGUCAACAGGCAUCUCAGGGGAGGAGGUGGCAUGGAGGAGAGAAGGGCAGUGUGUGUUUGGGGUUCUGUGCAGCCAGAUGGUAAGGUCUAGGAGAUAAGCAGCAAUGAGUCUUGGAAGGAGAAUCUGGAGCCAGCUCGCCAAGGGCAUGCCAGGCUGACGGGAAGCUGGAUUGCAGGGGGUUACAGUGCAAGGCUGAGGAGGCUGGAUCUGGUGAAUGUUGGGAAGGGACAUGAUGAAAGCUGUGUUUUAAGAAGAUAAUUCUGGAAGGCAGAGAGACCAGAAGAAGAACAGAGACGAGUUAGGAGGCUGCUGCAAUGGUCCUGGCACAAGCUGAGGCCCGGAACUUGAGUGUUGACCGUGGGAAUGGAAAUUAAGUGGCAGAGAAGAGAUACCUCUGGGGCCUACUUCUCCAGCUCUGGCCUUUAUCCUGGAUUCACUCUUCACCUUUCCCCGGUGCCUUCUCCCUUGACGAUCUUAACGGAUCCUGGGCCUCAACUCCCACCUCAAUGUGGAUUUAUCCCAAAUCCAUAUCUUGAGAUCUGACCUCUCAUCUGCCCCUGGGACCAGCUUCUGGCUGCUCUCUGGACAUUCCCAGGUAACCAUCUCAUCAGCACAUUCAAAACUGUCAUUGUGGUGCCUGCGCUUCAGCCUUAAACCAGCUCAGGAGAACCGUGUACCUCAGCUCACCAUUAGCCAGGGGCCUAACUCAGGGACUGAAGGAUCAUUUUACACCUUUCUAGGGCAGACAUGAUUUCCCAGUUCUAAACCACCAAUUUAUACGUGGACUUAGAGGACUCAACACAUUCACACCUUGGGGAUGGCCUUCCUUCACCCACUCACUGUCAAGUUCCUCAGCGGUGGCCCUCGGCCAGGGGUGGGCUCUCCCGGGCCCUGGAAGAAUUUGGAAAUGUGUAGAGGCCUUUCUGGUUGUCACAAUGACUCCAGGGUACUAGUGGCACUUAGGGUCAGGAAUCAGGAUAACCAUCCUGCAAUGCUCUGGUGCUUCCCACACAGCAAAGGAUGAUCUCACCCUGAGCGCCAAGAGUGCUCUCACUGAGAACCACUGUGACCACAAGCUCGCUGAGGGCAGGGACUCCGUCUGUUUUGUUCUCUCCUUUGUUCCCAGCAUGUAGCAGAGUGCACAGCACACAAGGGUGUGCAAUAAAUGUUCGUUAAAUUAAUAAAUUGA